rnacentral:lncRNA from 1 species
AGACCAUUUUAUAAUGUAUACCAGCCUACUGUACUAUUUAAAAAGCUCCAUUUCAGCACCAAUGGCAAUGUAAAUAAGAUGAUUUAAUGUUGAUUUUAAUCCUGUAUAUAAAAUAAAAAGUCACUGAGUUCAAGCAUAUUUAAUGAUGAUUACGGAGCCUUAGAGGUCUUUAAUCAUUGGUUCGGCUGCUUUUUGUAGUUUGUUUAGGCUGGAAAUGGUUUUCCCUGCUCUUUGUCAGCAAGACUGAAGACAGCUUUUGCUGGACAAUUAACAAACACAAAAUUUUGUAGGUCACUGUCCCAUCUCCACCACAGGUACAGUUGGCUUCCAUGUGAUGCUGAAGCCUGGCUAAUGGGAUCCCAACGAAACUAGAGACUGCAACAUGGAACUGGGGUUCUGGAGGGAGGGGGUUUGUUAAAACAACACACAUUCAAAGAAAGAAAUUUUGUAUAUAUAACCAUUUUAAUCUUUUAUAAAGUUUUGAAUGUUCAUGUAUGAAUGCUGCAGCUGUGAAGCAUACA